CCUGCUGGUGUUGUUUUCCGGAUUAUGGGAAUACUGCUCCUCCUGACUGUCUGCUUCUCUGGAGUCUUUAUCUGGAGGAGAAAAUAUAAAGAGCUGCACUGACAUGCAGCUUUAGAAAGAAAUUUAUCGCUCAACCAUCUCAGCUUUGCAUGAAGUCAGCCUCUCCCAGCUGUCAUGACUCAAAGGUACAUCCAGGACGAGAUGCCAGUCUAUCUGAGAAAGAGAGAGACAACCACACAAACUCACACGUGCAGGGAAAACUUAGAAUUAAAAUGCCCUCCUUUGACCUCCUGUUUCCCCUCCCUCUCCUCUCCAGUGAGGAGUUAAACAGU